UAGGAAAUCUUCCACAAUGGGCGAAAGCCUGAUGGAGCAACGCCGCGUGUGUGAUGAAGGCUUUCGGUCGUAAAGCACUGUUGUAUGGGAAGAACAGCUAGAAUAGGAAAUGAUUUUAGUUUGACGGUACCAUACCAGAAAGGGACGGCUAAAUACGUGCCAG
rnacentral:rRNA from 1 species